GCUGGCGGCAGGCUUAACACAUGCAAGUCGAGCGGGCGUAGCAAUACGUCAGCGGCAGACGGGUGAGUAACGCGUGGGAACGUACCUUUUGGUUCGGAACAACACAGGGAAACUUGUGCUAAUACCGGAUAAGCCCUUACGGGGAAAGAUUUAUCGCCGAAAGAUCGGCCCGCGUCUGAUUAGCUAGCUGGUGAGGUAACGGCUCACCAAGGCGACGAUCAGUAGCUGGUCUGAGAGGAUGAUCAGCCACAUUGGGACUGAGACACGGCCCAAACUCCUACGGGAGGCAGCAGUGGGGAAUAUUGGACAAUGGGCGCAAGCCUGAUCCAGCCAUGCCGCGUGAGUGAUGAAGGCCCUAGGGUUGUAAAGCUCUUUUGUGCGGGAAGAUAAUGACGGUACCGCAAGAAUAAGCCCCGGCUAACUUCGUGCCAGCAGCCGCGGUAAUACGAAGGGGGCUAGCGUUGCUCGGAAUCACUGGGCGUAAAGGGUGCGUAGGCGGGUCUUUAAGUCAGGGGUGAAAUCCUGGAGCUCAACUCCAGAACUGCCUUUGAUACUGAAGAUCUUGAGUUCGGGAGAGG
rnacentral:rRNA from 1 species